UUCACGUCAAAUUUCAAUACAGUACCCAACUUUCCCUAAAAAAACCCUACAUCUUUCCCUCAGCACAGUCUUUUGACAUUUUCCUCACUCUCUCUCGCUGCUGCCUCUCUCUCAUUUCUCCGAUCGCUCUCGCUCUCUAUCUUACUUUCUCUCUACUCAAAUCUCCGUUCUGAAAUUUUUGGUGAGAAGACAUUUCGAAUGAUCUCCUUAAAAGAUCUGGAAGAUCUUGGUGAUAAAUUAGGGGCCCUCCUGAAAGUUCGUUUGAAAUUUUCCUGUAAGAUCUGAAAUUUUCGUAGAAGAUCUGAAAUUUUCCUUCUUCUCAAUGAGAAGACAUUACUUAAUUGAAGAUUCAAAGUUCGUUCCUUUAAAUGCUGAUGACCCUGUAUAUGGCCCUCCUAUAAGUUCUGGUUUGUUCUAUUCUGUUUUUUGUUGUUGAUUUUAUCAUCUAAAGGACUAGUGCAUGUAGCUCUUAUUAGUCCCUCGAGAAGAUAAAUUAUUAAACUCAAUUUUCUCCAGAUUUUGACUUCUUGCUCUAUUUCUAUUGUUCUUUCCAUGUAUUGCAAUUCUAGACUUUUGAGAUGCUUUAUCUUAUGUGAAUGUAUGAAAUUCGAUUAUUUGAAGCAAAUGUGUUCAUGUAUGUUGCCUUUCUUGUUUCAGUCAAGACCAAACAUAAAUGAGGAUAAUGAUUGAAACUUUCUUUAGUUUUAGGCUUUGCUGCUGUUGGGCUUUGAAGUAGAGGAGGCGGCAAAGGUUGGAUAUAUUAAGUUUUGUAUUCAUUAUCCAUUUCAUUGUGUUUGUGCUUGUAGGUUUUUGGUUUCUUUUCCUUUGAAGUUGGAGGAAUAUCCGAGUAUGCGAACAGGUACUUCUUUAAGAAAUUUUGGUUGAUUCUUACUUCAAUGAAUCCUUGUGAGGUUACGCCGUGAACAGGUAAAGCCAAAUUUUUUUUUUUAAAAUUUUCUGUUUAAUUUAUUUUUGAAUGAUUUGUGGGUGUAGAUAGUGAAUACUAGGUGUUCAAUGAAUUGUUCUUCAUUGCCAACCUGACAGCUCUACUGGGUUGUCAAAUAAAAGUUUAAUAUGCCCUCUUUUGUUUGUGGAUAGAAACAAUAGUGAUGAUGGUGGUUAUCACCAGCCAAAUGAGGAGUUUAUUCAACCCAAAACAACAGUGGUGAUGCUGAUUGUAUCUUUGAUGGGAUUUCAAAUGUCAGGUUCUGAAGCAAUUGAAGUUCAUCCUUUUUUAUGUCUAAGAGGGCUACUACUCUGAAUGAUGAGAUUGCUUGGUCUAAGUGAGAAGCUGAGUGGGGUGUUUCACUCUCUGGCAUUCACCCUCUGAAGGCAAACCAAAAUUAUUGCAGGUGAUACAUAUAUGUGACCUGAGUGUACGUUGAUGCAAUUCAAAUUGGUGUCCAAGGCCACACAACAGAUUCAUGUCGAUGAAUGAGCGGAAGAUGAUUGACUUGGAUCAAGGAUGGAAGUUCAUGCAUAAAGGGUUCACCAAGCUGAAGAACAUUUUAGAAGGGCUGCCUGAGCAACAGUGCAAUAAGUCAUGUUAUAUAUAUUGUUUUCCUUCUUAAAUAUGUUGUUGGUCAUUGUAGAAGAAUUUUUUUUCUUGAAUGGGCAAUAAUAUAACUAGAAAU